UACAGAGGGUGCGAGCGUUGUCCGGAAUCACUGGGCGUAAAGGGCGCGUAGGCGGCUUGAUAAGCGUGCGGUGAAAGCCCGGGGCUCAACCCCGGGUCGGCCGUGCGAACUGUCGAGCUGGAGCACUGUAGAGGCAGGUGGAAUUCCGGGUGUAGCGGUGGAAUGCGUAGAGAUCCGGAAGAACACCGGUGGCGAAGGCGGGUCUCCGGGCAGAACUGACGCUGAGGA
rnacentral:rRNA from 1 species